ensembl:lncRNA
AUAAAAUCCAACGAGCGCGACCUGCUGGGCCGUAGAGAAAGCUGUGCCCGUGAGCAGGAAGGGAAAUGCGAUCACAGAGGGCUGUCACAUCCCGCAACUGCAAAUCAACCGCGCGGCAGGGCUGAUGAGAACAAAGGCGUACGUUUUUAAACGCCAAACGCAAUUAGACUUGGGAACAACUUACAGACCUCCCGUCUCGCAGCGUUACUGCAGUGCUGGAGGUACUCCCCCUGUUGGUGCGCUCUGGCUCCGGUAGUUGGUCGUUGCCAGGUGGGAGAAGCGCUGUGCUUUGAGUUACACGGGAGCUCAGCCCGGGUAGUCACGCCGUUGUGAGUAAUCAACUGCAGCUGCAGCUCCGGGGUGCUGUGCUUCUUACAGACAGGGACAAAUACUGCCGUACGUUCUGCGUGCUUCGUUCAGAGACGCCUAAAACUGUUCUUCCCGGGUGUGGCAAGACUUGUAAGAAAGCAAACCUAAAAGAUAGAAUUGUAAGCUGAGAAUGAGAAAUCCCUGUGAAAUGGAUAAAUAACAUUGCUGUUUUACUGGAAGUAUAUUAAAAGAAGCAUUGUCAUAGAAAUAGGUAACCUGAUGAAGACCUUAAAGAUAUAAAGGCCAACCAUGGAGGCAGGGGAUACUUAAAAACAGGUAAAGAAAGCCAACUUGUGGGAAUAUGUACUUAGCCAGUUUAAAUGCUCAAAUAUAAAUUAUAAUUUCUC